GAAAAAUAGGCAUAAAAUGACCUGUAUUUAUAAAGACUGUCAUAUAUCCACAGUUAAGUGCCAUCAACUGUCUCACUGACAGUAGACUGAAAGCACUCAUUUCUUUCAUCCUUUAGCUGUUUCCUGAUUUUCAUCUCUUAGGAAAGAAACCUCAGGCAUUCCUCAGACAUUGCUAUCUACCCAGGUCUGCUCUUGAUGAGGCCAAUGUGAAACAAAAGAAAAGCUGUUCCAGUGAUUUUUUGAUCUGGUACCACAUGUGACUAAUCCAGACCUUCCACAAUAAUCCCAGAGAACCAAAGAGAAAAUGUGGCAUGUUACAAACUUCAAGGUAGUUAAGGACAUGUCUAGCAGCUGUUCCACAUGCCGUGAUGAGUCAAAAAAUUCAUGAAUGCAGCAGAGGAGAGGAAGAGAGCUUGUUUCACACAGCAUUGGACACAAGAACUCACCUCACUAAGGUCACAGUCAGAGGACUCUAUGACCACAGGAGAAAGGGCUGUUCUGCUAGACCCAGUGGAAGAUCCUGGGCUAAGACUCUGCUGGGUGCCUUGUUCAUCUCCACACCAAUCCCUGUAGCCAGCAGGCUAGCUAAGUCACCAAAGAAUGAAGUAGAAAGCCAACACAACAGUCCCUACACAUGGAACUGGACUUGGAUGGCCUUUGGUUCAAACCCACAUGGUAGCUGUGAGUCCUCGGCCACGCUAAGCUUCACUUUAGUCAUCUUCAAAAUAAAAAUAAUGUUAAUACCAACCACAA
rnacentral:lncRNA from 1 species